rnacentral:rRNA from 1 species
AUCCAGCCUGCCGCGUGUGUGAAGAAGGCCUUUUGGUUGUAAAGCACUUUUAGCGAGGAGGAGGCUACCUAGAUUAAUACUCUGGGAUAGUGGACGUUACUCGCAAAAUAACCCCCGGCUAACUCUGUGCCAGCAGCCGCGGUAAUACAGAGGGGGCGAGCGUUAAUCGGAUUUACUGGGCGUAAAGCGGGCGUAGGCGGCUGAUUAAGUCGGAUGUGAAAUCCCUGAGCUUAACUUAGGAAUUGCAUUCGAUACUGGUCAGCUAGAGUAUGGGAGAGGAUGGUAGAAUUCCAGGUGUAGCGGUGAAAUGCGUAGAGAUCUGGAGGAAUACCGAUGGCGAAGGCAGCCAUCUGGCCUAAUACUGACGCUGAGGUACGAAAGCAUGGGG